CAUCAAGAAAAACACAGGUCAACUUAGAGGCAGUGAGGCUAAAAGCAGACAAAUUUAGGCUAGUUCUUGCAAACAAAUAUGCAGCCUUAGAACAGACAGAUGAUGAUGAUCACAUAGAGGUAAUGACUGAAACCAUAACGAGGCUGGCUUCAGAGGCAGCAAUUAAAGUGGGAGGCAAGGCACCUAGGCAACCAGUAGGCACGCUCUCCCAAGUAACAAAGAACCUAGUAAAGAAACGAUAAAGAAUGAAAGUAUCCAACUCAAGAGAUAAGAUAGAAUUCGCGGAACUGUCAAAACUUAUCAACAAAGCGGAAAUAAGUUAUAUUAGAAAUUAUAAUGUGAGGAAGACUGAAGAAGCCGUAACAAAUGGACGCAGCCUGAAAUCAGUGGGAAGGAAACUUGGCAUAGGACAAACCAAGAUGUAUGCUCUAGCCGGGUAAUAUCAGCAAUCUCGAAGGUAUAAUAAAAGCAGCGGAAUAAUUCUAUACUGACCUGUACAGUACCCAGAGGACUCAGGAGUACUCUGUUGGAAACAAUAAUGAACAGUAUACAGAAACUCCUCCUAUAACUAGAGAUGAGGUCACAAGGGCCUUGCAAGACAUGAAAGUGGGAAAAGCGGCAGGAGAGGAUGGAAUAACAGUCGAUUUAAUCAAAGAUGGAGGAGACAUAAUGCUAGGACACGGCCGGUCUCAAGGGGUGCGCGCGCUUCUCUUCUUACGGCCUUCGCAAUGGGGUCUGUUUCCGCCUCCCACCGCACCGCGGUGGGAUCGCCACUGCCCCACUGCUCCGCCGCUGCGACCGCCAUUCACGCGGAAGGAGAACGCGCGCCCGCUCCAAGGCCGUCCCUCGUGAGUGGUGCACCAGAAACGUGCACCAGCGCUCACAACACUAAAGGCCACGCUGCGUGCCGGCACACAGUGCGAUGAGAGCACUCCCCGUCCAAGAGAGAAAUAUGCGAGGCUCGGAAAAAAAAAAGAAGCAAGCGCAGACCAACAGUGACGUUUGCGCUUCGCACAUAGAAGGGAAGUCAAGUUGGCAGGCUUUUCUGCACAUUGUUAAGAUCGGCGAAUUCGGACCUUGGGAGGAUUAUUAGAAAACCAACGUAAAGGCGGAUGAACGAGAGUGAUUGGACCUUUGAUGUUUCUAUGGUUCGAAUUUUUCUAUGAAAACUCCGUUCACGUGUGAACUUAUUGGCUGACAUGUAGAUAAAUCAUUUGCUUUUUGUUUUCUUUCGUUUCGGUGAAUCGUUGAACAAGAAGCAGCAGAAAAACAGCACGAAAAUAGGCGAUCACCGCCCGCCGCCGCAGAAGCAGGCGGGCAGAGAACGGUCCCUAGCAGUAGGGUCGUCGCGCCCCUGGCAGCGGCGAAAGGCGUAACUCUUGGAGAAAAACUCCCAUUGCUUCCACAGCGAAUGCGAAGGCCGUAAGAAGGAAAGCGCGCGCUCCCCUAGAGACUGGCCGUGGCUAGGAAAACUGGCAGCUCUCUAUACGGAGUGUCUAUCGACUGCAAGGAUGCAAACAUUAUACUAAUCCACAAAAAGGGAGACGUUAAAGAACUGAAAAAUUCUAGGCCUAUUAGCUUACUCCCAGUAUAAUAGAAAAUAUUUACCAAAAUAAUCUCCAAUAGAAUAAGGGCAACACUGGACUUUAGUCAACCAAGGAAACAGGCUAGCUUCAGGGAAGGACACUCUACGAUGGAUCACAUCCAUGUCAAUCAGGUUAUCGAGAAAUCCGCAGAGUACAAUAAGCCUCUCUAUAUGGCUUUCAUAGAUUACGAAAAAGCAUUUGAUUCAGUAGAGAUACCAGCAGUCAUAGAGGCAUUGCGUAAUCAAGGAGCACAGACCGCUUACGUAAAUACCCUGGAAAAUAUCUAGAGAUUCCACAGCCACCUUAAUUCUACACAAGAAAAGUAGGAAGAUACCUAUAAAGAAAGGGGUCCGACAAGGAGACACAAUCUCCCUAAUGCUGUUCACUGCGUGCAUGGAAGAAGUAUUCAAGCUACUAAACUCGGAAGGCUUAGGAGUAAGGAUCGACGGUGAAUAUCUCAGCAACCUUCGGUUUGCUGAUGACAUUGUUCUAUUCAGCAAUACCGCAGACGAGUUGCAACAAAUGAUUGAGGACCUUAACAGAGAUAGUGCAAGAGUGGGGUUGAAGAUAAUACGCAGAAGACAAAGACAAUCAUGAAUAGCCGGACAAGGGAACAAGAGUUGGGGAUCGCUAGUCAGCCUCGAGAGUCUGUGAAGGAGUAUGUUACCUAGGUCAACUAAUCACAGGGAACCCUGACCAUGAGAAGGAAAUUAACAGAAGAAUGAAAAUUGGUUGGAUCACAUACGGCAGACAUCGGGAGCUCCUGACUGGGAAGCUUGCCAUUAUCAUUGAAAAGGAAGGUGUACAAUCAGUGCAUUUUACCGGUGCUGACAUAUGGGGCAGAAACUUGGAGACUGACAAAGAAGCUUGAGAACAAGUUAAGGACCGCACAAAGAGCAAUGGAACGAAGAAUGCUAAGUAUAACAUUAAGAGACAGAAAGGGAUUGGUUGGGAUCAGAGAGCAAAUGGGUACAGCCGAUAUUCUAAUUGACAUAAAGAGAAAAAAAAUGAAGCUGGGCAGGUGAUGUAAUGUGCAGGUUAGAUAACCAGUGGACCAUUAGGGUUACAGAAUGGGUGCCAAGAGAAGGGAAGUGCAGUCGAGGAUGGCAAAAGACUAGGUGGGGCAAUGAAAUUAGGAAAUUCGCGGGUGCUAGUCGGAAUCGCUGGUGCAGGACAGGGGUAAUUGGAGAUCGCAGGGAGAGGCCUUCGUCCUGCAGUGAACAUAAAAUGGGCUGAUUAUGAUGAAAGGAGCAUUAUAUAUUUCAGCAGACGCGCUCAGCCGAGUCAAAGCCAUUGCAGCAAUGGGUGUUUCGCAAAAAGAAUUUGCCAUCGCACAGCAAAACUAUGAAGACUUCAGCACUUAAAAUCAGCACCAAGCAGCUUGGACCUGCAACAUUCUUCUUGCAAGAGCGACGCACUACUCAUUUGUCACAUGUCCACUGGUCGCUAUCGCCCCUUUUUUUCGCAUCAUCUCAGACGCUGCAUCUUUGAACAUUUGCAUUCUCUCGCUCACCCUGGAAUCAAGGCUUCCUAAAUGCUCAUAGGUGAGUGCUAUGUCUGGCCAGGCAUGAAUGUCGAUGUGCGGGCAUGGGCACGUUUUUGUCUGGCUUGCCAAAGAGCUAAGAUGUAUCGCCACAUUCGAAGUCCCCACAAUCAUUCCUCCCGCCCAUUGAACAUUUCCAGAAAGUUCGCAUUGAUAUCAUUGGAUCUGUUCCUCCAUUAAAACAAAAUCGCUAUGCCUUAACCAAGGUCGACCAUUUUACUCGAUGGCCUGAAGUCAUGAUACUUCCAGACAUCACAGCAGAAACUGUUCCAGAUGCUGUUAUAAGCACAUGAAUAUCACAAUUCGACAUCCCAUCCUAGAUUACAACUGGUAGAGGCCAACAGUUCAAGAGUGCACUCUUCCAACAACUCACUAACCGCCCGCGGCAUUCAUUCAUUCAAUCACUGUGUAUUAUUCAUUCAACGACUGUGUAUCGCCCACAAGCCUUAAGGCGGCACUCAUGGCCCUUGUCAACUCUGCAAACUGGGUUCAUGUCCUUCCAGUAGUACUUUUUGGUCUCUGUGCUGCUUUUAAGGAAGACUUGCAGAGUUCUCCAGCCCAGCUCGUGUAUGGUACUACCCUGCGUCUUCCGGCCGAAUUUGUCCACCCUCUCUCCUUCUCCACAACGUGCAAUGCACCCUGAUUCGUCCAAUGAAUGCAACACUCGUUCACCGCACCUCGACCCAUCCAGCCUCGCCACAAGACUGUAGAAGCACCCUUCAGCUUGAAGGACACUAAUAUGACAUCCCGUGUUUUUCUGCAGACUGACGCCACUCAGCGGUCACUGAAGCCUCCAUAUACAGGAAUGUAUCUUGUUUUAGACCGCAAGCCCAAACACUUUACGAUUGACGUCGGUGACGAGCCAACAGUCGUUUCUGUUGAUAGACUCAAACCUGCCUUCAUCGACAACACCUGUCUUCAUCGACAACACCGUUAUUCACAGUUUUUACAUUGCCCCAUUUUCUCUGCUUCCUUCUCCCUCGCCAUUACUGUCUCCAGCCCCUCAACGUUACAAGUACGUUCACUGGAAACAGGCUCCGUCUCUCCAGGAGGGGGGCCCGUGUGACGAAGUCUGGCUGCUGAGCGUGUGGUGCCGGCAAAAGAAGAAGAGGGAGGAGAGGCACGAGCUCUGCAUCCGGAAGAAAAUAAAAAUCACUGUGAAGGGUUAGCCUUGCAAGAAAGUCGUGUCUUAGUUAUUUCCUGUUCCCACGACAAUGGCUUAAGUUUUUACUCCCAGUUACACCUUCUGAGGUGCUAGGCCAAGUGACCACCCUGCCCUGUAGACCCCACUGCUUCUCUCUUUCCAAUUCUAAUGCCCACUUAGUCUACGCAUGUAUCAACAAGUCCAACAAUGGAAAGAAGUACACAUCGUUUAACAUGUGCCGUGUGCUGUUGAUGUUUCCCAUGCUAGUCAGCGUAAUGUCUUGGCACAUUUAAAUACCAUGAAACCCACUAUCAGGUAAACAUUGCGUACAGCUAUGAGAUGUUUCAUGAAUAUUUCUGUUUAUCUUUUGUAGACUAUAUUUUUUUACUGCUACCAAAUGCCCAGUUGCUGCAUUGCUAUGUCAUGCGGAUCUUGUUACAAUUGGCCAAAUGAGCAGGCGUAAAAACAAAAGGUUGCAAGAACAUUCCUCCAGAUUAAAGAACGCUGGUCUAUCACAUUUGGCAACCCAUUGCACAGCUUGCAGUUGCAAGCCCAUUUUUGAACGCGCACACUUAAUCUGGACAAAUAAAAAUGAAAAGUCCCGCCUCAUUUCAGAGGCCUACCUAAUCGAUAAAUGUGGGGACAUGUGUGUAAGCCAGGCGUCACUCGCACUGCACAACAAGAAAAUAUGUUUUUAAUCUUUAAAAAUGUUGCGCUAUCUUUUUGUACCGCUCUUCUGUUUUGUUUUGCUUUUGGUUGAGGGAAUGUAUGGUGCGCGGGUGUACGCAUGUGUGAGUUUUUCUAUUUAUAUGACUGUUUGAAAACAAUAAACAUUUAGUUGUGAGUCAA